UUGAAUUUUGGUGAUUAAAAGUCUUUUGGAUGAUUUUAGUAGAUUUGUGUAAAUAUUAACCGCGAAAAAGGCGUCACGUGAUUUCAGUUAAGAAGGGAAGACAUGUUUUAUAAGAGAAGUGAUUUUAUAGUAAAUUAUGAGAAAUAGUAAGGGUUCACAGCUAAUCUGUCACAACCAUCACUGGAGAGAGCCGAGAAUUACAAGAGACAUUGUUGUGUUGUGUAUGAGUGAAAGCCAUUCAUUUCCAUAAAUUGGAUGGAAUUAUCAUUCUAUCACGGUCAACGUUAGAUGAUAAGGAAAACGUCUGAGAAAUGCACUGUAGAGAACUGUAUGUGCAUAUGUGAACUUUGUGGUGUUAUGGACAGUAACAGUUUGGGUUUUCUUGAUUAUAACAGGAACUCUGAAUGAACUAUAAGUUGUGGUGUAAGAAUACUGGAAAGAAUUAUUAAUAUUAUCGGAGCAUAAUAAACUAAUAUUAAAAACAGAA
rnacentral:lncRNA from 1 species